AACGAACGCUGGCGGCAGGCCUAACACAUGCAAGUCGAACGCAUCGCAGGAUGAGUGGCGCACGGGUGAGUAACACGUGGGAAUGUGCCCUUUGGUUCGGAAUAACGUCUGGAAACGGACGCUAAUACCGGAUGUCCCCUGCGGGGGAAAGAUUUAUCGCCAAAGGAGCAGCCCGCGUCUGAUUAGGUAGUUGGUGGGGUAAAGGCCUACCAAGCCGACGAUCAGUAGCUGGUCUGAGAGGAUGAUCAGCCACACUGGGACUGAGACACGGCCCAGACUCCUACGGGAGGCAGCAGUGGGGAAUAUUGGACAAUGGGCGCAAGCCUGAUCCAGCCAUGCCGCGUGAGUGAUGAGGGCCUUCGGGUUGUAAAGCUCUUUCGCACACGACGAUGAUGACGGUAGUGUGAGAAGAAGCCCCGGCUAACUUCGUGCCAGCCGCCGCCGUAAAAC
rnacentral:rRNA from 1 species